GGACAGAAAUGUUUAACACCACAGAAUUAUAUAUAUCACACAGGUAUUACAAACUGAAAAUUACUACGGCAACUACAACACACAGGGGAUAUAUAUAGCUAAUUAUUGAGCAUACAAACUGAGUGAUACAUGCCACAAUCCAGUUCACACAUCCACAAAUAAAGCAUAAGUCUGAAACUAAACAAGUAGGUUACUAACACUUAACAAAUCUGAAUGUUACACAUCAUAUAUGUCUCAAGUUAUUUCAGAGAGAGAGAUAGCAGUAGGUAGGUUAAGGGAAGUGUAGCAGGGGAAGUAGAGAGAGAUAGCAGCAGGAGGUUGAGGGCCGCGGCAGCAGCAGCAAGAGGAGAAGCAAAAAGGGGCGCUGGAGAUAGAGCAGCAGGAGGAGGCGCUGGAGAUGAGCAGCAUUAGCAUGGGGAUAAAGAGCAGCAGCAGUGUGGAGGGUUGAGAGAGCAGCGGGGCAAGGGGAUCAGCAGCAGGUUCAGCGAAGCAGAGGCAAGUACUAGAGAUUAAGAAGAGCAGCAGGGCCGUGGGGGACGAAGGGAGAUAGCAAGGGGGAUGGAGAGUAGUAGCAGUAGCAAAGAGGAAGAAUUGAGUGGAGAAGAGGAGAGUAGAGAGCAGAGGGUUGUCGCACGGAGCACCAGACACUGCCUCGCCCUCGUCUGGUCAGGCACGCCGGUGUAGGGUGGAGGUGCGGUGGAGGCGCUGGUGGUGCUGAUGGUGGGAGAGGGAUUUGAUUGGUGGUCCUGGUGAGGUGCGGCGGCGAAGUGGAGCUGGUGGCGCUAGCGGCAGGAGGUGAUGGUGGCACUGGGUGUUGGUGCUGGUGGGUGGAUGGGCUGCGGAGGCGCACCACCACGCCGGCCGGGCCGUGGAGGCGGCCGGAGGUGGAGAAGGAGUGGUGAGGGGGGAGAGAGAUGGAGAUGUGGC
rnacentral:rRNA from 1 species